CAGCAGCCCGAGUGGUGAUCACUAUUAUUGGGUCUAAAGGGUCCGUAGCCGGUUUGAUCAGUCUUUUGGGAAAUCUGACAGCUUAACUGUUAGGCUUCCAAAGGAUACUGUCAGACUUGGGACCGGGAGAGGUAAGAGGUACUACAGGGGUAGGAGUGAAAUCUUGUAAUCCCUGUGGGACCACCAGUGGCGAAGGCGUCUUACCAGAACGGGUCCGACGGUGAGGGACGAAAGCUGGGGGCACGAACCGGAUUAGAUACCCGAGUAGUCC
rnacentral:rRNA from 1 species